CGGAGUUUGGCUGUGUUGCCCAGGCUGGAGUGUAGUGGUGUGAGCUCUGCUUACUGUAAACUCUGCGCCUAACCCCAGGUUCAAGCAAUUCUCUUGCCUUAGCCUCUCAAGUAGCUGGGAUUACAGCUAGAAAUCUACCACCUGAAAGGAUUAGAAUGCAUGCUCCUCAUCUUGAUAGCUGUAUCUCUGUGGAUCUUUCACAGGAAUUCUCAAAAGGAAAAUAAUGCAUAGGAUAGGACUUCUAAGUUGACUAAUUGUUCAACAUGGCUGCCAUAAACUGGAUAUUGAUAUCUAUGAGGUUCUCCUCUGUCCCAGGACAGGUCCAGAAAUGUCAUCAAGGAGCGAAGACGCCAGUGUGGCUGAGCUGUUAACCCAAGCUCAAGAGAAAGUUUCCUUUACUCUUCUCUCUCCUUUGCCCAAGUGGAAGGGGUCUCUUCCCAUAGGCACCGCAGCUGGCUAUGUGCUGGUUCACACUUGAAGUCAGCAUGGUUUUGAGUGUCACCCAAGGCCCACAGUGAAUACUGCCCAGCUACCAUUGCUGCUUGUUGAGGGUCCAAGGGCACUUUAGUUAGCUCAUGAUGAAUUCUGCAAAAAUUGGGUCCUUUCCUUGAAGGCAGUGAGUUCCAUUCUGGCCCAGGAUGUAUUUCAAAAUGUCCUCCAGGAUUUAUUUUUAGAGCAGUUUUAGGUUUACAGCAAAAGUGAGCAGAAGGUUCAGGGAUUUGCAGUAUAGCCCCCGCCUGUCCCACACGUGCAUGCACGGCCUCUCCCACCACCUACAUCCAGUGCCACAGUGGUACAUUUAUUACAUUGACAAUACAUCAUCAUCACCAAAUACCAUAGUUUACAUUAGGCUUCACUCUUGACGUUGUACAUUCUAUGUGUUUGGAAUGACAUGUAUCCACCAUCAUAGUAUCAUACAGAAUAGUUCCACUGUCCUAAAAAUCUCUGUAAUCCACCAAGUCAGCCUUCCCUUUCCAUUAACACUAGGCAACCAUUGAUCUGUAUAUGGUCUCCAUAGUUUUGCCUUUUUCAGAAUGACCCUAUAGUUGAAAUCAUAUAUUAUGUAGCUUUUUCAGGUUGGCUUUUUUCACUUAAUAAUAUAUAUUUAAGGAUUGUUUGUCUUUUCAUGGAUUGAUAGGGCAUUUCUAUUUAAUGCUGAAAAAAUAUUCUGUAGUUUAAAGGUACGACAAUUUAUUUUACUAUUCACUUACUGAAGGACGUCUUGGCUGCUUCCAAGUUUUGACAACCAUGAAUAAAGCUGCUAUAAACAUCAAUGUACAGGUUUUUGUGUGAACAUAAGUUUUGAACUCAUUUAGGUAAAUUCCAAGAGGUACAAUUCAUGGGCCAUAUGCUAAGAGUAUCUUCAGCUUUCGAAGAAACUGCCGAACUGUCUUCCGAAGUGGCUACACAAUUUGCAUUUCCACCAACAUUGUGUAAUAGUUCUUGUUCCACAUCCUUGCCAGCAUUUGGUGUUUCCAGUGUUUUGCAUUUUGGUGAUCCUAACAGUGUGAUAGGCAACCUUGAAAUGGCCCCAGAUAAUCCCUGCCUCCAG
rnacentral:lncRNA from 10 species